ensembl:snRNA LOC120102588 U6 spliceosomal RNA
AAAAACAAAAACUGGAACGAUACAGACAAGAUUAGCAUGGCCCCUGAGCAAGGAUGACAAACAAAUUUCUGAAGCGCUCCAUAUUUUU